rnacentral:lncRNA from 1 species
AGAUAUCAGAAAGUUAAAGUUUCUCUUGCUGCCGCCGUGUAAGAAGGACCUUUUGCCUCCCACCAUGAUUCUAAGUCCUCCCCAGCCACGUGGAACUGCUUUCAUUUGGUCUCUUUUCGAAUCAGAAGACCCAGAAAACUUGGAUCCACUUCUGGCUCUCAUCCCUCUGGGCAGUGUGAUUUGGAUUGAGCAGAUGCUCCGGCUGCCACUCCAUCAUAUAUUGGAAACAGCAUUACUUUAUAGUAAAUCAUGACCACGGUGUAUGGCAAUGAAGUUGCAUCUGAAGCAGCCGGCACCCUAUGUGCUAGCUGGCUUUUAGACCAGGAGACUGUGAAUCUGUGGUCAGGAUCUCUUUAGGGCUGCUAAAUAUAUACUACCCACUAUCACUCGCUGGAGCUGCAGACCCUAGUUUUAGAGUUUCACUUCUUAAAGACCUUCAUCCUUAUUAAAAUGGUAAUAUCCUUACUGUCA